AUCAUCAGAGGGGACUUUUUUUAAUCAGGUUAGAGGAUUAAGAUUGUUCAUGCAGAUUACUUUAUAACCCAGAUUGAGGGAGAGGAGAGGGAUUCUUCUGCAGGAUUUCAAGUGAGAAGGACCUCUCCUUCUAAGCAGCCAGAAUGCCUGUCAUAAACAUGGACGAGCUGACUGACAAGGACAAGGCUGUAAUGGAAGUAACUCAACUUAAACUUGAAGUGAAACUUGAAAGGUGGUUGACAUCUAAGUGCUGUGAGGAAGUCAAGGACUACAUUCAGGCAGGAGAGGAGGAGGACACCCUUGUCAAAGGCAUUUCAGAGGAUAAGAACCCCUUCAAGGAAAAAGGUGGCUGUGUCAUCUUCUAAACUGAACCUAAGGAGCUCUUCAUAUCUCAGAUUAGAACCCAAGAACAUUCUCCGUCCCCUUCAUAACAUGGAUUUGCAGUCUAAGAAGACUGGAGGUAUAUAUUAAAAAUAAACAUAUUACAAAAUGUCCCAUGUAAACUAUUCCCCCUCUUCUAGUCGGAUCUAUAGCCUUGUAAAAUAACUAUUUGAAAAGAUGCAAUAAAAAGAGUUGUAUUUGCCAUGGAUAUGUAAUUCUUCUCUCUCAUGUGUUGCAUUGUCUGGGAGACUGGGCCCAUGGGUUGUUUCAUAUACAGAAGCAACUGUCAUUAAAACAUGCUUGUUUAUAAUUCA